rnacentral:lncRNA from 1 species
UAACAACAUAACCAGGAAGAGGAGCCCCUUCCUUUGCUACAGCAUAGCAUUCCCCCUGCCCCAAGUGCCAUAUGUUGAGAAAGAAUAAUAUUGUGCUGAAGGAGAAAUGCUUACAGGGUCCAGCUCCAGUAUCAAUAUACAAAGCAAAAAGGGAGAAUUUGGAGCUGAGAGACAAUAUUUUGAUCCCUGGCACAGCCCAUCCCUUUGGCUACCUGACUUCCAAAUGCGCCCUCUACAUACUUCACCUUCCACACAAACACCUCAAGGCCACACAGAUAACAACUCAUGUUUCCAAUUAAGACAAUGCAGCUAUCUUUUGUACAAGUGGAAAAAUUCUCACUCUUUCACCAAAAUGAAGAGACAGAGUCCUGGCCACUGUUGUUUCAAUUGCUGACAAUAUUCAUUACUCCUUAAAUUCUGCACAGUACCUAAAGGCUAAAUUGAGGUUCUCCUCCAACAGCUUGAAUAUAAAAUAGUAAGAGAGAAAGGAUAUAGUUAAUUGAUACACAUACAUAUGUACACAUAACAUGUGCAAAGAGAAAAUAUGCAAAGCUACAACCGUCCUCUUUGUAGAAACUGCUCGCAAGCACAUAGAUAGUAUUUGUGACUUCCUUCUUCCACUACCCUUUCCAUAUUUUCUUUGCCCUCAACUAGAACCUCAGUUGGGCGGGUUCUUUAUCUGACAGAGUAACCCAAGUGGUCAUUCCUUAAGAGUUUGUGUCCUCACCAGGCUCAGUCACUUGCACCUGUAAUCCCAGCACUUUGGGAGGCCGAAGCUGGCGGAUCACUUGAAGCCAGGAGUUUGAGACCAGCCUUGCUAACAUGGUCACACCUCGUCUCUACUAAAAGUACAAAAAUUAGCCUGGUGUCAUGGCAUACAACUAUAGUCCCAGCUACUCAGGAGGCUGAAGCAAAAGAAUGGCUUGAACCCAGGAGGGGAAGGUUGCAGUGAGCCAAGAUUGUACCACUGCACUUCAGCCUGGGUGACAGAGUGAGACUGUCUCAAAAAAAAAAAAAAAAAAAAAAAAAAAAAGAGUCUGUGUCCUUAAUGGUCCUUUCUUGGAUGCUGUAGUUUUCAGGAACCUUUAUUCUGGGACACAGAGGAAAUUAGAAGGGCCCCCAGAGAAUCCCCUAAGUUCUAGGCAAAGCCUUCUUUCCCCCAAAUUGUAUAGCAACCAACAAAUUUCCCUUUGGUAAUUUGGCUCAAUCACUGUAAUCAGCACAGUAACCUCUUUUUCUUCUUGUUGAUUUAAGGGCAUCAGAAGCCCCAAAUAGAGAAGCGGCAGUCUCGUUUCCAAUGCAAUGGAAAAUGCGAGUGGGGAAGAGCAAGCCCUUAGGAGGCAGCCAGUCACUAUCUUUUAGAGGAAAAUAAAUUGUCUUCCUGAUCUGACAAGCUUGCUGCUGCCUGAGGCUGGAGUGUGUUGCGGCAGGGAUGGACACUCCCAGGAGCUGGGAGAGGCUUGCCUUCACUUCCUAGGGCUGCGGUAACAAAUUCACACAAACUGGGGGCUGCAAACAACAGGCAUGCUUUGUCUCACAGUUCUGGAGGCUAACGUCUGAAAUCGAUGUGUGGGCAGGCUUGGUUCCCUCUGGUGGCUAUGAGGUCUCGCUCACCUUCUGGGGGCUGCCUGCAAUCCUUGGUGUCCCUUGGAUUCAAGAGGCAUCCUUCCCGUCUUUGCCCCACCCUCACAGCACCAUCUUCUCUAUGUGUGUCUUCUUUUCUGUCUCUUCUAUGCACACUUAUCAUUUGAUUUAGGGGCCCCUCUAAGCUCUAAGCCAGGAAAAUCUCACCUUGAAAUCUUCAUUUUAAUUAUAUCUGCAAAGACCCUUCUUCCAAAUAAGAUUGGAUAUUGAGGUUCUCUUUUGGGAAACCACUAUUCAAUCUAGGUACCCUGUGUUCCUGUUCGAGCUGGGUCAAUACUUUGCUGCCUGGCCUUGAGCAAGUCACUUUGCCUUUCUGGGUCUCAGUUUCUCUUAGAUCGUCUCCUACAUUGCUUACAGGUAGAAUGUGCCAAUAGAGUGAGGGGUCCCAGGAAAUGGUUCAGACCAAGCUUCCUUCAUUCAACAGUGAUGCUCCUGCUCUGUACUAGCCUCAGUGCUGUAUCCCAGGGAGGCAGACGACCCCGAGCCUUGUACCUCCAGCCACUAAGAACAAAGUUUAGAGGGAAAGCAGACCUUGGAGUAGCUGAUUACAACAGACUAGAAUGGGUGCUUUGAAAGGUCAGCGCCUUGCUUCAUUCACACCGUGAAAGUCCUGGCACCAUUUGUAAUUGAUGAAUCAUUUUAAAUGGACAUAUUUUGCAGCCAGGGAGAGCUGUGAGAGGACACAACCUGAGUGUUUGUUGGAGCACAGAGGAAAGGCAACUGGCCUUGUCUUGGAGGAUCCAGAUGGGUUCCUAGCAGAGAUAGGGUCCAAACAGAGGCCUGAAGGACAAGUGAGUGUGAGAUGAGGGAGGGGACAGGGUGCUGCUCCAGGUACAACCAUAGCACGUGCAUGGGGCAGAGGUGAGAGAGAGCCUGUUCCCCGCCAGGAUGGAUAAGUGGCUUAUAAUGACAGUAUAACUGCCCAAGGUCACACACCUCUUAAGAGGUAGAGCUAAGACUUGACUCCAAGAAGUCAGAUUCUAGAGCCAAAGUAUGAUAACAUGUUGAGGAAAUGUGGUGUCAUCCAUCGGAAACCAUUUAAUAAAUUCUAUUCAGAUUGGCUUAAAUGCUCAUAUCAACUAUAUACUAAUUAACUGAAAUUUAUUUUAGUGCAUUUAAUUGAAGUAAUUUUUGAG